GUUCAAAACAAGGUAAAGUUUUAGAAUGAUGCAUUGAGAUCUCAAAGCCAGUAAUUCUACACAAAGCCAAAUGAUGAAUACAUGAGUGAUUAUUCACAGGAUCUCAGUUCUUUUUUUUUUUUUUUUUUUUGGGGGGGGGGGGGGGGGGGGAUAAGGUGUCAAAAUUGACUACGUGUCAUGUCUGUUAAGAAGAAGCUGGGUCAGCUUGCUGUUGUUCAAAGAGAUUGGUCUAAAACAUUUGUUCUUUUUUAUUUUCCGUCCGCCUUCCAAGAAACUUUAUAAAUUUUUUGUCUUCUUUAAGAAAAUAUUCCCAAUGAUACUAUUUAGUGGCUGAAAUUACCCAUCUGCUCCUAUGAGGUAGAUGGAAUAAUGGACUUGGACCGGAAAGUUCCAUGAUUGGCUUUAUUUUAGCACGUUUGCUUUGGUUUGUAAAAAUACAAUUAACUUGGAGGGGAUUCAGGAGUAUACCCAACCAAAAUUUGCUUAGAUUGGGAUUGUAAUAAAUUGGCAUAUAUUCUAUGAACCGUUUCCUUUUGUCAGCAUGUUUGUGUUUACUUACUAGUUGUAGUUUCGUAAAACAAGGUAAAAAACUACCAGUUGUUUCCCGUAGCCGUUUCACAAUAGUUUGAAAAAAUCAAACCUAGAUAGACUUCCAAAGCCUUAAAUGUCUGUUUUUUCUUGCUAUAAAUGGUUAGAACCCCAUUUCUGUUUUUUCUUGCUAUAAAUGGUUAGAACCCCAUUUCUUUAAUUUAUUUGUUGCAUGUGUAUGGCCUACGUUUGCCCUAUUGUUAGAUGGUUCUAUAGAAGAGGGAGUAUUAAUUAUGCUGCGUUAAGUUGGCUUCAUAGGGGUCUAUGCAUUAUUAAGUUUAUUUCCUAUAAACUUAAAAUUUUAGUCUUUAUAGUACCUCAACACUGCAUCAAACCGAGCCUAUUAAACUGUUAAAUAUAAUAAAUCAUGGCAUAAAAUUCACUACAACAUGUGACACUGCUGGUUACUUUUCUCUAUUUCAGGAUGCUUAGGUGAUUAGUUUAGUUUUGGUAGCAGUGAUAUGGUUGGGAUACAAUGAAUUAGGGCAUCUCAUUAGACGAUUAGGGGUCAUCCUAUUGCACAUGUCCCCUUGGUAUUUUGCUUUGUGUUUGUUUUUUUUUUGAUCAUAUGGUAUGCUGCUCCCGUUAUUAAUCAUCUCACAACAAUUGCUCCAAAUUCAAAGAAGAAGAUCUUCAGGAAGUUCUGGAUCAAUAGAUAGCAACUUUGUGUCUCUAAAGGCAUUUGAUUCAGGAGGAUUAAUAGAUACUACAUCAGAACCUGAACUAGCUGCUGGGCUUUUCCAAGAAGAAUUUCCAUUUCCUCAAAGUUCUGAUAGCUUGGACCUUUCCAAAACCCCAUAUACACCUGAAAUAGUUACUGCUGUAGCAUCAUCAAUUGAUUUGUUUCAGUUGCCUAUUGCAUCAUCGCCUCCAUCUACAGAUUUGUUUCAAUUGCCUAUAGCUUCAUCAUCUGCUCAAACUGUAGAUUUGUUUCAUCCAUAUGUAGUGUCUUCUGCUUCAUCUAUGGUUGUAAAACAACCUUCACCAACUGUUUCAACUUCUUCAUUAGACUUCUUUGCUGGUUAUGCUCAGCCACAGUCAAUUGCAACCUCUGGUGAAAAACUGCAAGAGGUUUCUGAGCCAAAAAUGAUCGAUAGGCCUCAUUCCUCGCCAUCUAUUCCGGGAACUCCAAAUGUUAACCCCACAAAUGUUGCUUCUGUAGAUGGUGGUUCUUUCGGAAAAUUUGAUCUAUUAUCAUCUCCAGCAUCUAUUUCGGCCACUGGAAAUGACAACCCUAGGAAUGUACCUUCUGUAGAUGGUGUUACUGUUGGAAAAUUUGAUCCAUUUUCAUCCUUGGGUACAAGCACUUAGUUGCCAUCAUUCCAAGAUUCUAGUUUCAAUGCUCCUUCUUCAACUAUUUCGAGUCCAUGGAAUAUGAAUGAUGUUACAGUUCCCACUGCAACAAGUGCUCAGUAUCUGAACAGUUAUGGAAUGCUUUUGAAGACUCUGCAGGGCGUUAAGCUGGGUGAUGAAAUCCAUUUAGAGACAGACAAGUUGUCAUCAACUGCAGAUCAGUAUUUGGGUUCUAGAGUUUAAGAGGUUGUUGCAUUAAACAUUUAUUUAUUAAAUUGUUUAUUUUGAUUCAUUUCAUUUCCUUUUUAUUCUUCUAAACAUUGUUAUGCAAAAUUCUGUUGCAAAUGGGAUACAAUAGGAUUCUUCCCUUAGUCUGCGUCUUGUCAUGCCAUCCCGUAAUGUGAUGGGUCUGUCCUAUACACCACCAAUGCUUUUUUCGGUGAUUGGUAUGCUUUUGCUUUAACCUUGUAAAAUUUUGAUGGGGGGAUACUUAGUAAGCAUUACACACAAACACAUACAACUGUCAUUUUCUUUUAAUCUCUUUCUUUUUACAUGUGGUUGUUUCUUCUCACAGGAAGAGACAAUCUCAUGCAAGUAAACCCAAAUCGAAUAACCCAUUGGAUUUAACUUAUGAUUCAGAUUUGGGACAGAACAAUAUGUUAUGGUAUUUAUUCAUUAUACUGAGUCACAUAAACAUUUAAUGUGGCCAUUUCUUUAGUGUGCUUGCAGCCAUACCUGUUUCCAACUGUACUUUAAGCUGACAAUUGUUAGCUUUAACUAUGUUCAGUCCCAAGCAUAAAUGAGAUUGUCAAAAAAAUAAAAAGAAAAAGAAAAAAAAAAUAUCGGGCACAAGAGCAUUAUUCAAGCAGACAUAAUAGUGGAAAGAUGCACAAAUGAAAAUCAUUUCAGAAGCUAUCAAUGAUGGUUUGCUUUUAGCAUUUUUAGAGUCAUAUAUUUCCAUAAAAUUUAUGGCUGAAGAGGCUGUUGAUUCAGACUGCUUCUUAUUAAAGGUUUUUAUUUAGUGUUUAUUAUAAAAGUGCUUGGGAGAAGAGGAGAGGAUUUAGAAAGGAAAUUGAGGGUUUUUACUUGGUGUUGAUUAUAAAAGUGCUUGGAAGAAGAGGAGAGGAUUUAGAAAGGGGAUUCAAGAGAGGAUUUAGGAAACUAAAUACAUUGAGGAAACAUAAUUAAACUAGGAAGCUAAAUAAUUUAAGAAGGCUUAUAAAAAUACUAAAACUACUUUUGAAACUUACACCUAACAUAACUUUUGACUUUAUGGAUCUCCAUCAGGUUUGGAGUGGAACAAAAAUGCUGUAUUGUGGAACGAAACGUUUAUUGAUCGCUGCUCAACAUGCUGUAGUGUGUAAAGUUGAGCUAUGGAACAAAAGAGAUAUUGAAGCAUUAUUGAAGCAUUGUAUGUGUAUAUAUAUACACACACACACACACACACACACAGAGUAGUCAGGCCUUGGCAACAUCUCUCUUCUUUUUGUCUAUAUUUUUAGGAUGCAGCUUAUAUCAGUUCCAUGCCAUGCCUUUAAACUAUUUUCAUCUUUUGUGUAAACUUCAAAGUUUAUUAAAUUUUAUGAAUUUAUUUCACCUACUUUGUAUAUGUCUUGGUGCAUAUGUUUGUUAUAGUACCUCACCAACCAUCUGCUUUAAUUAAUACAAAGGCCUCUCCCCCUUCUGCCUCCAAUAUGUCUAAAAAAGGAGAAGGGGGGGGAAGGGUUGAGAAAUUAAACAUUUCUUAUAUCUAAUGCCAUCCUGCUUCACUUCUUGUUUGAGCUUCUGGAUAUGAGCUCCUUGCAAGCUGCUCUCCCAAAUGCCCAGUUGUCUUCAAGCUUCCUUGGUGAUGUAUCUGAACCGUGGUUUCCCCAAAGUGCGGCGGCACCUUAUAUUCCAGCUGCAGGACAAGGUAGGACAAGUAAUGGUGGCUUAACAUACAUGGCAGCACAAGUGCCGAGCUCCCAAAUACCGUAAGUUGUUUCUAUUCUAGUUCGGGGUUCUCAUCUCUUUUCAUGGUUGUUAAAUCCUGUUUCUCUUAUGGAUUAAAUAGACCAUUAAGAAUUCUGAUCCCUAUCAAUUAGGAUUUGGUAUCGGUAACAUAAUUGAAAAGGAAUAAAAAUAAAUAAAUAAAUAAAAAAUCUCGGUUAAUUCACUAAGCUGAAAAAAGGUCAAGUCACUAAACAUAAUGAAGAUGCUUAUUUAUUUAUUUAUAUUUUGGAGGAAUGUCUCAUCACAGGGCUCUGUUGCAUCUGUCGGAGGAAAUCCUUUUGCAUAGGAUUUUGGUGGCUAUUAUCAUUGAUAAGUUGGUAGGACAAGGUUUCUAAGUUUUUGCUAAUAGUUGGUCCCUAUCCUAUAGGCUACAGAAUCAAAAUUAUUAUACUGCGUUUUUUUUUUUGUUUGUUUGGGAAAAAAAAAAAAAAAAAAACUUGUUCUGUAGUAGUGCUUUCACCGUUUUUUGCAGGCCAUCAAAAUAUUUGUUCUAUCUGUGAAGAGAUAAAAAAUAAAAAAAAAAAUAAAAAAUUUGGGAAAACUCGAUAUAUUUUAUACUUAUUAUUAUUCUAAUUAUUACUAUUUAUUGUAAGUAUUAUGAAUUUAUAAUUAUCCUCCUUUUUUUUU